CCCGUAUCUGGUCUGCAUGCUUUUCUCCCUGAAAACAUUAGGAUUCCUUGCCAGAAUAGCCUGCAGCAAGACUGGUAUAUCUCCCUCUGGAUCAUCACUACCAAGAUUAUCUUUCAGUUCUAUGUGAUCUGUUGACACCUGAUUGAGACUGUGGACAAGCUGUGAAACCAGAUUAUCAUCCCUGCAAGCCAGAAGGCAGUUCACCUCUUCAGCUAUCCGUCCAUUGAAGAGCAGGCUUUUUGUUGUUGUAGCAGGUAAAGGUGAUGGAAGAGGCAGCUGGUUCAAAAGGUCUGUAAGACUAGCAAUCCCUGCAAGAGUAGUGAUGGGAACAUGAGGCAUAUCCCCAUUCAUCCUGAAGUUCCGCAACAGUAGUGUCUACACAGAUAUUUUAGUUCAGGUGCCAGCUAUCAUUACUUCCCAUCUCCCAAGCACU
rnacentral:lncRNA from 1 species